CUUCCCGGAAGCAAUAUUAAAGGUUUGUUCUUUAUUGCUACACUGAGUUCAUACUGCACUGCACUGAACGGAACUAGUGCAAGCAGGACAUGUUAUUUGUGAGCAAGUAUAAAGAACGCGUCAGUGUAAUAAUCAACAUGGCGAUGAUCUUAAAUGAUUUAUUUGAUUCUUCUGAUGAUGAAAAAAAUAAUAUGUUGUUUCCAUUUCAACCUAUUAUGCGUAACGAUGACGAUGAUUUUUAUGAGUUACACAUGUUACAUCCAAUUUUCGGAUUAGUGCAAAGAAUUGAACAUGUGAAAAUAAACAAUUAUAUCGAACAUAUUGUUCAUAAUUAUAAUAACGUUGAUUUUAUCAUGCAUUUUCGUUUGUCAAGAAGAGCAGCAUAUCAAUUAAUAGACCAAUUUACAGUGUCGGAAAUAUUUACUUCUAUACAAGAUGUGUAUUUAACGAAAUCUAUUUAACUUUAGAUAUAUGAACGUGUACAAAAUAAUAAAAUUAGCGCUGAAAAACAUAUUUUAUGUUAUUUAUGGUUUGUGGGUCAUCAAACAGGAUCUUAUCGAGAUAUAGCAGAUAGAUUCGGAAUAACAAUAAGUGCAUUACAUACAGUAAUAUCAAGAGUAACCGAUUUUAUUUUAGCUUUAGCGCCUAAUAUUAUUAAAUACCCAACUGAUCUCGAAAAAGAACAAACUUCAAACUUUUAUCUACAACAAAAACGAUUUCCUAAUAUAAUUGUGCUAUCGAUGGUUCUCAAAUAAGAAUAGACAAACCUCUUGAAGAUCCUGAUUCCUAUAUAAAUCGGAAACAAUAUUUUC